GAUGAACGCUGGCGGCGUGCCUAAUACAUGCGAGUCGAGCGAACAGACGAGGAGCUUGCUCCUCUGACGUUAGCGGCGGACGGGUGAGUAACACGUGGAUAACCUACCUAUAAGACUGGGAUAACUUCGGGAAACCGGAGCUAAUACCGGAUAAUAUAUUGAACCGCAUGGUUCAAUAGUGAAAGACGGUUUUGCUGUCACUUAUAGAUGGAUCCGCGCCGCAUUAGCUAGUUGGUAAGGUAACGGCUUACCAAGGCAACGAUGCGUAGCCGACCUGAGAGGGUGAUCGGCCACACUGGAACGGAGACACGGUCCAGACUCCUACGGGAGGCAGCAGUAGGGAAUCUUCCGCAAUGGGCGAAAGCCUGACGGAGCAACGCCGCGUGAGUGAUGAAGGUCUUCGGAUCGUAAAACUCUGUUAUUAGGGAAGAACAAAUGUGUAAGUAACUAUGCACGUCUUGACGGUACCUAAUCAGAAAGCCACGGCUAACUACGUG
rnacentral:rRNA from 1 species